UAAGGUAUUAAUAUUAUGAAUUACAACUCAAAUUGAAGCAAACAAUGAACAAUUAAAGUUAAAACAAUCAAGCAUGUGAACACAAGGAAUUUUUACGUGGUCCACCCCCUAACCUCUAUUCUAGUGGCCUAAUUCACGCCCAAUACCAACUAGUAUUGGAGACUCUUUUUAUUAAAUAACUUGAUUUAUAAUUAAACUCUGACGCCCCCAAAACAGGUAUACAUCACCCAUCUUGAGUCGCCAAAUACAUGGUACAUAAUACAACUACAAACUUCUUUUAUACAACUGUCGUGUAAAAUACGACAAAACAUAGCUGAGAGUUUAAACAAGAAUAUUAUCUUCUAGACAAUAUCCACACCCAAUGGAGUCCCCAUUACAAUUAUU
rnacentral:lncRNA from 1 species